rnacentral:lncRNA from 1 species
UAACAGGAACCUCUGUUUGAAGUAUAUCCUUUGCUGCUUUCUUUCUGAGUGCACUUCACAUUGAAUCCGCCCUUUGAAGUUGUCCAAAAGAAACAUCAUUAGAGCUUGUACUGACGUGUGACGCGUAUUACUCUCAGAGAAUCAAUGGAGAGGUAUUAUACAGAAUUCUUUAUCAGAUGGCCAGUCCGUAGGAGACCAUCGAUUUAUGGGGUGAGAGUUAACAGAUCCCAAAUGUUUCAAAGACAGAAGCACUGCUGGCCAAGUGGAUACAUAAGAGUGAAGUUGACUCUGAAAGGAGAGCAAUGUCAAAUGGUAAUAUUCAUGGCCUUCAUAACAUAUAUAUUUGUGGCCCUUGUUGAAUACAUACCUGAUUCAAGAAGGCCACACACCUAAGUUUCUUGCCUUGCAUGUGGCAAGAUGGAGUAUGGUUGUCAAAGACUCAUAACUUGGAUUAUUAGAUCAACUGUAAACAGGCAUUUAUUUAAUCCUUCUUUUUCUAUUUAGGAGUGAGAAUAUUGUCUUCUGGAUACACCAAUUUGUUCGAUUCUCAUAAUUGUAAAUGCUAUAGAAAAAUUUACCCUUUUUCUUACUAUGCACCGCACGUGAUAACAAAAACUUGUGCUUGUUAAUAGUGACAUCAAUUACAGUGUUUCUGGUCUUUCAGUUGCGAGUUUGCAG